rnacentral:sRNA from 1 species
AUGCUGCUGCUCUGGAUGUCACUGCUUGCUGGACGCUGCUGCCCCAGGCCCAGGGGAAGGCCCAGCACCUACUCUGCCUUCAGAGGACAAGAAUCAGCGGGAAACAGUUCAGACCUGUUCUCAGAGCACUGCACCCUGGACUGCAUGCUCAGCCUGCCUGUGACAGGGGCCAGGAGCAAAGGUGUUGCUGUCCUGGACCACCUGCCCUUUCUAGGCAAACGCCUCUCCAAGAAGAGCAGUGGGCUGGACCUGUCGCAGGUCGGUCGGGGAACUGCUUUCAGGGAAGAGCCUCCCCCAGCUGUGGGAGCUACUCGGGGCAGGUUGGUCAUAGAAGACGCCAAAAGACCUGAGAUCACCCUGCAAAUCCUAAGUGAUAGCCUGCUGCAGGUCACGUUGCGCUGCAAACUGUACCUCUCACUCCAGGAGAUCCUGUGGCUCAAAGUCAUCAAGAGCAUUCACAUUGGAGUACGGCUGGAACAGACAGGGAAUAACACCAAGGUGGCUUUCGAGGAGUGAGGAGUGCCACAGCCCACCUGGACACCUGAGCACUGAGGCUCUGCAGCAGAUGGACACCCUCCUGGCAAACACUUGUGGCCCCCUGCAGCCCGGGCCAGAGAGCCUCAAGGCCUGAGCACCUGGCCCCCCAGCCCUUCCCAACAUCAGCCCAGGGAAGCGUGGCAGACCUGGUCUUUUGGCUGGAAGUCUACAAUGACAUCUGUUCUGCCUCCACACCAGCAAGGAGCUCCACGUGGACCCCCAGGACUCCACAGCUUCCAGUCAGUCCAGAGGGAGCAUACAACUGACCAUCAACACCCCUGAUCCUCCCACGGUCCGCCUUGACGGCCACACGGCCACCAUCAUCCAGCCGGGCUUGCUAGUGCUACUGGGGCUCAGCAUCACCUCCUCUGUCUCAGUUUCCUGGAAACUUUUUUUGAAGGCUGCAUUUUCCCUAAGAAAUCAGGAACUACAUGACCGGGCAUGGUGCAUAUAGUGUUUGGGGCUAUUCCCCUCAAUUAAAAAAUAAGCUGCUCAGAGAACACAGCCUCCCUGUGCCCAACAUCAGGAGUCCUUCCACCAGGCCCAAAGGGACCUCUCAGAG